UACGGGGGGGGCAAGCGUUGUUCGGAAUUACUGGGCGUAAAGGGCUCGUAGGUGGCCAACUAAGUCGGACGUGAAAUCCCUCAGCUUAACUGGGGAACUGCGUCCGAUACUGGAUGGCUUGAGUUUGGGAGAGGGAUGCGGAAUUCCAGGUGUAGCGGUGAAAUGCGUAGAUAUCAGGAGGAACACCUGUGGCGAAAGCGGCUCACUGGACCACAACUGACGCUGAGGCGCGAAAGCUAGGGGAGCAAACAGG
rnacentral:rRNA from 1 species